rnacentral:rRNA from 1 species
GACGAACGCUGGCGGCGUGCUUAACACAUGCAAGUCGAACGGAAAGGCCCUGCUUUUGUGGGGUGCUCGAGUGGCGAACGGGUGAGUAACACGUGAGUAACCUGCCCUUGACUUUGGGAUAACUUCAGGAAACUGGGGCUAAUACAGGAUAGGAGCUCCCGUUGCAUGGUGGGGGUGGGAAAGUUUCGGCGGUUGGGGAUGGACUCGCGGCUUAUCAGCUUGUUGGUGGGGUAGUGGCUUACCAAGGCUUUGACGGGUAGCCGGCCCGUGAGCGUGACCGGGCACCAUGGGACUGAGAGACGGCGCAGUGUCGAAUGUGAGGCAACGGGGGGGAGUAUUGCACAGUGGGCCGAAGUCUGUUAAGACAGCGCCGGGUGCGGAAUGACCGCCUUCGGGUUGUAAACCGCUGUCGCCUGUGACGACGCGUUAGUGACGGUACUGAAUAAAGAAGCACCGGCUAACUACGUG